rnacentral:rRNA from 1 species
GAUGAACGCUGGCGGCGUGCCUAAUACAUGCAAGUCGAGCGAACGGACGAGAAGCUUGCUUCUCUGAUGUUAGCGGCGGACGGGUGAGUAACACGUGGAUAACCUACCUAUAAGACUGGGAUAACUUCGGGAAACCGGAGCUAAUACCGGAUGAUAUUUUGAACCGCAUGGUUCAAAAGUGAAAGACGGUCUUGCUGUCACUUAUAGAUGGAUCCGCGCUGCAUUAGCUAGUUGGUAAGGUAACGGCUUACCAAGGCAACGAUGCAUAGCCGACCUGAGAGGGUGAUCGGCCACACUGGAGCUGAGACACGGUCCAGACUCCUACGGGAGGCAGCAGUAGGGAAUCUUCCGCAGUGGGCGAAAGCCUGACGGAGCAACGCCGCGUGAGUGAUGAAGGUCUUCGGAUCGUAAAACUCUGUUAUUAGGGAAGAACAUAUGUGUAAGUAACUGUGCACAUCUUGACGGUACCUAAUCAGAAAGCCACGGCUAACUACGUG